rnacentral:rRNA from 1 species
AGAGUUUGAUCAUGGCUCAGGAUGAACGCUGGCGGUAUGCUUAACACAUGCAAGUCGAACGGUGUCUUCGGACACAGUGGCGGACGGGUGAGUAACGCGUGAGAAUCUGGCUUUAGGUCUGGGACAACCACUGGAAACGGUGGCUAAUACCGGAUGUGCCCUGCGGGGUGAAAGGUUAACUGCCUGAAGAUGAGCUCGCGUCUGAUUAGCUAGUUGGUGUGGUAAGAGCGCACCAAGGCGACGAUCAGUAGCUGGUCUGAGAGGACGAUCAGCCACACUGGGACUGAGACACGGCCCAGACUCCUACGGGAGGCAGCAGUGGGGAAUUUUCCGCAAUGGGCGAAAGCCUGACGGAGCAAUACCGCGUGAGGGAGGAAGGCUCUUGGGUCGUAAACCUCUUUUCUCAGGGAAGAACACAAUGACGGUACCUGAGGAAUAAGCAUCGGCUAACUCCGUGCCAGCAGCCGCGGUAAUACGGAGGAUGCAAGCGUUAUCCGGAAUGAUUGGGCGUAAAGCGUCCGCAGGUGGCUGUGUAAGUCUGCUGUUAAAGAGUCUAGCUCAACUAGAUACAAGCAGUGGAAACUACACGGCUAGAGUACGUUCGGGGCAGAGGGAAUUCCUGGUGUAGCGGUGAAAUGCGUAGAGAUCGGGAAGAACAUCGGUGGCGAAAGCGCUCUACUGGACUGCAACUGACACUNAGGGACGAAAGCUAGGGGAGCGAAUGGGAUUAGAUACCCCCGUAGUCC